UGACAGAGAGAGCAGAGAGAGGGUCCCGACCAACAGCUCCCGUGCGUGUCUAACGGCAUGACUGUGUCCUGUGUGUGCUUUCUUAGUCCUGUAGUUUAAACGUUCCUCGUGCAGCAUUCAAAGAACCUGGGGCCACAACACCGGCCCCGCUUAC